rnacentral:rRNA from 1 species
CCCUUAGAUGUUCUGGGCCGCACGCGUGCUACACUGAGUGGAUCAGCGGGUCAGGUUGCGCGAAAGCGUUUCCUAAUCUUUAAAUCCGCUCGUGAUGGGGAUUGACGGUUGCAAUUUUCUGUCAUGAACGAGGAAUACCUUGUAAGCGCGGGUCAUCAUCCCGCGCUGAAUACGUCCCUGCCCUUUGUACACACCGCCCGUCGCUCCUACCGAUUGAGUGGUCCGGUGAGGCUUUGGGAUCUGAGCGGAAAGAGCGUUUCGCUGUUUCUGCUCGGAAAACUCAGUCGAACCUUAUCAUUUAGAAGAAGGAGAAGUCGUAACA